GCGAGUGCUUUAUCAUCGGCGAGAUCAGCGACCUGUAAAGUCGUGGCCCAUGGCUGUGGGGGUUCGAAUCCCUCCGCUCGCA
rnacentral:tRNA from 1 species